AAGUCGUAACAAGGUCUCCGUAGGUGAACCUGCGGAGGGAUCAUUAACACGUUUCCAACAACGUUUACCAACCAAAUCAACGUGAACUAGAACCAACUCCCUUGACAGUGUGACCGAACGAACAAUCAUCAGGGUGGAGGACAGCUCUCGGGCUGGACUAUGACUCGUUCUAGGGGCCCUUUGAGGCUUCAAUCCACUGUCAAGUGUCUUUGCGACCACCUGGCAGACUACAUUCGUGUAGCGUUCUGCCGAAUUUUGUUUAACCCAAUUUUUUUAACCCCUUUCACAACAUACUAAUAACUGAACCAUUUUUUUCUAUAUAUCCGUUUUCGGAUGUGAUAUAUGAAAAAAGAUAUACGUAAUGCUGAACAACUCUUAGCAAUGGAUAUCUUGGUUCUCGUAACGAUGAAAAACGCAGC
rnacentral:misc_RNA from 1 species